rnacentral:ncRNA from 2 species
AGUCAUACACGGCUCUCCUCUCU